AUUUCCAGGUGCGGGGGUGGGGUGGUCUCACCAUCUAUUCUACUGUGAUAGUUUAGAUUAUUAUUCAUUCAACAUUCAGUCCCUUACCCUUUCCAGUGUGGGUAAAGGUGCUUCACCUGAUGUUGGGCUGGAAGUAAUUUGGUGGCCAGUGGGAUGCCAGCAGAGGUGAUAUGAAGCUAUAUUUAAAAAAAUGCUUAUGAGGUUGGGUUUACUCAUUUGCAUCUCUGUAAUUCCCUGAGGAACUGCUGUCCCUUCAGCCUCAGGACCCAAAUGAAGACAUGUGGAGCAGAUGUGACCUCAUCUCACACAAAGGAGCCAAACCAAGGUGGAUGUGUAGCCUGAAGCAGAGAUACACAGGUAAAUUUAAAAGGUGCUUUCCCCUUGGCACGGUGAAAACCAUCAUUUCAAUGGAUCUACACCCUUCUGGACGCUCCCUCUACCCGAUUUCCUACUUUCAUCAGAGCCUUCUAUAUGGAGAAUGCAGAAAGCCCACCAGUGUUGUGAACUGGUGAGCUUUCUGCAGUUCACAGCUGAAGGGCAAGGAGCCUCGCCCAGAGAUUUCACAGGGCUCAGGCGGGAGCUGAGAUCCCAUCCCAGGAAGCAGUGAGAAGAGCCUGCCAAGGAGUGCUCCCGGUUCCUGGUUUCCUCUCCAGUAGGGCUCUCACCUUAAGCAGUGACUGCACAGCGAGUCAGACUGGCUCGUGGGGUUGGAGACAUUGUCACCUCCAACGAAGAGGAGAGACGUGGACGGCCCAGACUUGCCCAGCGCCUAACCCCGCGGCCCUGGGCGCCCGACCUCUCGCGGGGCUAGAUACCCGGGAGCCAGCGCAGGACGCAGCGCAGGACUCCCACGUCCCCCCACCCCCGAGGCAGACACGCCCUCUGCCCACCGGGUGACUUCGGCCGCGGACUCUGGAAGUAAGCCUGAGUCAGAGGAAACGUCCUUCUCAGAGGGACUCGGGAUUCUUCCCAGAGCAUCCGGAGUUUCCCCGUCCCACACGCAGCACGCUGUACUUUACACGGGUCGGCCUAGCGAAUCGCGUGGGAGUCCCAUCUGCUUUAUUCCACUCAGGUUUUCCAGCACAGCCCGAAUCCCCUAGGCACCCGUAAAUAAGUGUUGAACGCCUGGCUGGACGGCCGACUGACUGAAGGAAUGACUGAGUGAAAGACUACGUUCAGAGUCGGUACAUCCCCCCUUUCCAGUCUACCCAAGUCUCCGGGGCCCGCCCACCCGGUCUCUUCGCCGCCCAGACACCAGGUCCCUCGGCUCAGGGCAGACACAAACCUUCUCGGCAGGGCUCUCCGGGCGGCAGCCUCACCUGUGCCCCCAUGGCCCCGGGACGGGGGUUCCCGAACGCGGGCGCUGGCUCCUCACCUGGGCCUCUCCUCCCUGUGGACCCGCGGCGGGUGCGGCUGCGGGGUCCGGCAAGGGGCGCCCUGACCCCGCCCCCGGGGCAGCCUCCGCCAAUGGCUUUGGCCAGGCGGAGCCUCAGAGCCGGGCGCGGCCCAGGGGUUGUUAGGCACUUUCAGAGCUCCCGCAGGGCUGUGGGCUGCCCGGGAUAACUCGUGUAUCUGGCCGGAGGAUCAGCUGCCCCUCCGCGCGGCUGCUGGAGGAACUAGAGAAACACAGACACGCCUCACAGGCCAACGGCGUCUCUCGGAGCGUGGAGCCCGCCAAGGCAACUCCGGUUUACAGAUAUGGGAUUAGAGACAGAGUGAAGUUAAGUAACCUAACCAAGGUUGGAAGACUCGAUAUCAAGAAAACUUUCGGCUGGGCGCAGUGGAUUAAGCCUGUAAUCCCAGCACUUUGGGAGGCCAAGGCGGGUGGAUCACGAGGUCAAGAGAUCGAGACCAUCCUGGUCAACAUGGUAAAACCCCAUCUCUACUAAAAAUACAAAAAAUUAGCUGGGCAUGGUGGCGUGUACCUGUAAUCCCAGCUACUCAGGAGGCUGAGGCAGGAGAAUUGCCUGAACCCAGGAGGUGGAGGUUGUGGUGAGCUGAGAUCGUGCCAUUGCACUCCAGCCUGGGUAACAAGAGUGAAACUCUGUCUCAAAAAGAAAAAAAAAAAGAAAGAAAAGUUUCAAGCUAUUUACAGCUUUUAACAAUUAAGUAUAUUGCUAUGAAUAAAAUUCAGAGCAUAUUUGUUUCUCUGUACCUGAUUUCUACAGAAUUUGGAAACUAUUUGUAAGUAUUCUUACAGCAAUAUAGUUAUUUGCAUAAGUGCAAUAAGAAUCUGUUUUCAUUUGUAACAGGACACAAUUAGAUAAAUUAGUUAGUUUACCAAAGCUUUUACUGGAAUAGUGUGUUUUACUUUAAGGAAUCAAACUUGACUUAAGGAACCAAUAAAAGCCCCUUGGGAAAACUGGCCUCAUACCUGUGCCUACCCAGCCCUUGUAUAAGGUUCCUGACCUGUGUUAAGUAAAGAAUGUCACUUUCUGAUAGGCUCAGGAGCCCCAAGUUUAUCUUGGACCCUCAAGAGGACAGGAAUUCACCCAACUCAUAGGUAUUUGAUGGUACAAAUUCAUGACUAGACUUGACUUUUAAAAAGUCCUAUCUGAAAUUUUUUCUAUGGAAUAAAGUUCCAUCAAAGCCAACUUAAAAGCACAUGUAAAAAAACAAUUAUUCUUGUUGCACCAUAAACAAAUAAUCAGGCCAAGUAUGAUAAAGCAAAUCAGUCCUACCGGAUUUGUCUUAAGUAAAAAUGGAAAACUGGAGAGAAAAAAUUAUGUUUCAAAAACUAUAGUACCCCUGUUCUUAGAUUCCAGUCUUGCCUAAUAUUUUUGAAUUUUUAUUAUUUUCUACAAUUUGGUCUGAAUUCUAAUUUUUCUUGGCUACAAGCCUUCCAGAUAAUGCUUUCAAUUCCUUUCCUUCUUUUUUCCUCCAUUUUUCUUAAUUUGGGGUCACUGAAAACUAAGCUGUGCUUUCAAAAAGCCCUGACAACAGAAGCUAGACAACUUAAACUUCAAAAGAAAAUAACAGCAACGUAUUUACAUACAUAAGCCACUUUCAUACCUCUCUCUUGUUGUGUGGACUUCAGAGUAAUGAGGCCUAUAUCAAUUUUCCAGGAUUGUUCUUUUGUUUGUUCUUGUUUUUUCCCUUCCUCCCCUAAUUUUCUCUUCAUAGGACAUGAGACUUCACAAUCUGCUAAAAAUUAGCCCUCCUAAAUAACUCCGGACCUACCCACCUAGUAAUAAGCCAUCCUAGCCAUGAGAUAUCAGACAAAACCUCAGACCAGAGACUCAUUUUCUCCUAAAAUGCUUUCUCCAAAAUACUUUUUAAAGAAAAGGGGGAAAAUGUGAAAGAAAAAUAAAUCUUGGGGCUCUCAAAUCACUAGGCUAAAGAAAAAGAGAAGUUGGAAACUGCUUAGGGCAAACCUACCUCCCAUUCUAUUCAAAGUCACACCUCUGCUCAGGGAGAUAAAUGCAUAUCUGAUUGCCUCCUUUAAUCAGAAACUCAAAAAAAUGCAACCAUUUGUCUCUCAUCUACUUUUGACCUGGAAAGCCCCCUCCCUGCUUCCUGUCUUUUUGAGUUGUCACACAUUCCCAGACAGAACCAAUGUUCAUCUUGCAUAUGUUGAUUGAUGUCUCAUUUGCUUUUAGAAUGUAUAAAACCAAACUGUGCUCUGAUCACCUUGGGCACAAGUCAGGACCUCUUGAGGCUGUAUCAUGGGGUUGUGUCCUCAAUCUUGGCAAAAUAAACUUUGUAAAUUAAUUGAGACCUGUCUCAGAUUUUCAGGGUUCACAGGGCCAAGCUAACUUUGGAAGAUAUUUAGGCUAUAGUUUAAAUGAUAGUAAGUCUUAUCCUAAAACUCAUCCACUUUUGUAAAGCUAAUGGGAGGCCUUCAGCCUGGUGGGGAUGGGGGGGAUCCUAAGUCCUGCUAAGUUGCAGACAUAAACAAUUGUCAGCCAUUAUUCCAGAGGUUAUAAGAUAGGCAGCUUCCCCAAUUACUCCUGCAAAUAACAUCACUAUUGUAGAAUUUAACACUGGCCUGUUAAGAUAUCUUUUCAAGUUUGUUUUUUUUUUUUUUUGCCUGUCUGACACUCAUGGCUCCACCUGGACCAGCCAACCCAGCUCCUAUGGCCCCACCCAGAAGCAAUGCAGCUCACAGAAGACAGCUUUGACUCCUUAUGAUUUCACCUCCACCCCAACCAAUCAGCAGCAAGCACCUAUUACCUGGCCACCUCCUCCCCUUCCCUAAAACUGCCUUUGAAAAAACCUGACCUAAGAACUUUGGAGGAGAUAAUUUGAGUACAAACUCCAUUUCCCAUGUGGCAUAGCUAGCCUUGUGUCUAUUAAAUUUUUUCUACUACAGUGUUGUGGUCUGUCUUCAUGUAGUGGGCAGGAAGAACCACUUGGGCAGUUACAGAGCAGGGCUUGAGGCUGUUUGCAGAAAUGUUGCAGUCCAGUCUAGUACUGUGCCUAGCCUACACUGGUAAUUUUUUUUCUCAAUCAGUCUACUUAGGAGGUUAUCAAUUUUAUGAAUCUUUAUAAGAACUAGCUCUUACCUUUAUUGAUUUUCUUUAGCUAUUUUUAAAUUUUCAUUGAUAUCUACUCUUACUUUUAUUACAUAUUUCCUUCUACUGGGAGUUUAAUUUGCUAUCCAUUUUCCAGUUUCCAAUGUGAAAGCUUAGACCUGGAUUUGAAACCUUUAUUCUCUUUCAAUACAAAUGUUUAAAGCUAACAUUUGCCUCCAUAUACUGUGUUAGCUUCAUCCCACAAAUUGUGAUAUAUUGUGUUUUUAUUAUCAUUUAGUUCAAAAUAUUUUAAAGUUUUCUUUGCGAUUUCUUCUUUGACCCAUGGGUUAUAAAGGAAUGUGUUGCUUGAUUUCCAGAUAACUGCAGCUUUUCCAGAUAUACUACUGCUAUUGAUUACUAGUUUAAUCCUCUUUUGGACACAGAACAUAUUCUAUACAAUGAUGGUUAUUUGAAAUGUAUUGAGAUCUGGUUUAUGGCCCAGCAUAUGGUCUGUCUUGGUGGAGGGUCCAAGUUAAAUUGAAAAGAAUGUGUAUUCUGCACUUGUUGGGUGUUGUGUUUUAGAAAUGUAAAUUGGGUUAAAUUGCUUGAUCAAAAUGUAGUUUAUUGCCACUUUUUAUAUUUGUUUAAUGAAUUAGUGAGAAGGAGUGUUAAAAUCAGCUGUAAUUGUGGAUUUGUUUAUAAAUUUAGUGCUGCCAGUUUUUGCUUCAUGAAUUUUACAAACUUGGUCAUUAGAUAAAAACACAAGUAGGAUUAUUAUGUCUCCUUAAUGAAUUGACAAUUUUAUCAUUAUUAAAU